rnacentral:lncRNA from 1 species
CGGGAUGCUGUCAGCUUUUCAACGGUUCUCCUGUUCCCUGUCCCUGGGAAAUAACCCUCUCUGGGGCUCAGAACCUGCUACAAGCAGGGGCUGCUCCUGUACUGACACUGCCCACAUAGCUGACCCCUUCAGACAGCAGAAGAGGGAACAGUUAGUUGUCACAUUCCCCGUGCCACAAAGAUCACUAGGAAGGAAGAAGUAUUGAAAACUGUCUUUCCAUGCCUUCAGUGACACUCAACAUCAGAGCUGCCAACAUCAAUUCUAUCACUGUUUAGUGGUGGCACUACAAUUUGUU